UCCUCCGUGGCGCAAUUGGCUAGCGCGUUCGACUGUUAUCAGCUUCUGCUGCCAGUACAACGCUGGUACUGUGAGUAGCAGGCAAUCGAGAGGUUGACAGUUCAAGCCUGUCCGGGGGAG